AACGAACGCUGGCGGCAUGCUUAACACAUGCCAGUCGAACGAAACGUUCGGGCCUAGUGGCGCACGGGGGCGUGAGACGGGGGGACCUGCACUUAGGUUCGGUAUAACUCCCCGAAAGGGGUGCUAAUAAAGGUUAAGGUAUUCGGACCAAAGAUCUUUUGCCUUAGGAUGGGCGCGUGUUGGCUUGGCUCGUUGGUAGGGUAAAAGCCGCCCAAGGCGAGGUUCCAUAGCUGGUCUGUUAGGAAGCUCCGCCCCGCUUGGCCUGCGACACGGCCCAGUCUCCGACGGAGCGCAGCGGUAGGGAAUAUUAUACGAUGGACGAAAGCCUGACCCCGCAGUGCCGCGUGAGUGAUGAAUGCCUUAGGGUUGUACAGCUCUUUGACCCGAGACGAUAAUGACAGUACCGGGUGAAUAAGCACCGGCUAACUCCGUG
rnacentral:rRNA from 1 species